rnacentral:sRNA from 1 species
CGCCUCAGGAGCCAGCCCUUUCGGGGCGC